GCUNAACACAUGCAAGUCGAGCGGUAGGCNGUAGCAAUACGCUGAGAGCGGCGGACUGGUGAGUAACGCGUGGAUGAUCUACCGUUAGGGCAUGGGGAUAGCCAUUAGAAAUAGUGGGUAAUACCGAAUACGUUUACACAGGUAAAGCUGUGUAAGGAAAGGAUGCUACGGCAUCGGCCUAACGAUGAGUCUGCGUUCUAUUAGCUAGUUGGUGAGGUAAAGGCCCACCAAGGCGAUGAUGGGUAGCCGGCCUGAGAGGGUGUACGGCCACACUGGGACUGAGAUACGGCCCAGACUCCUACGGGAGGCAGCAGCUAAGAAUAUUCCGCAAUGGACGAAAGUCUGACGGAGCGACGCCGCGUGGAUGAAGAAGGCCGCAAGGUUGUAAAAUCCUUUUGCUGGGGAAGAAUAAGCGCAGGAGGGAAUGCCUGCGUGAUGACAUGAACCGGCGAAUAAGCCCCGGCCAACUACGUGCCAGCAGCCGCGGUAAUACA
rnacentral:rRNA from 1 species